rnacentral:snoRNA from 1 species
AGGACUAUACUUUCAGGGAUCAUUUCUAUAGUAUCCAACUUCGGAAGUGCAAAAAUUGAUGGAGUUAGCAGAGAUGGCCAAAUUGACUGC